UCCCGCCCAACAGUACCACUGCCCUCCUCUAUUUAUAUCAUCCCUCAUUUACUCAUUUAGGGCUAAUGCUUUCUUUCUCUCUCUGCUCUGCUCUAUUCCGAUCGAUGUUUAUCCUCUCUGAUGUUUAUCUUUCUUCUUCUUCUUCUUCUUCUUCUUCUUCUUCUCAUAGUCAUCUCCUCAACAAUGUACGGCAGAGGUUACUUCUAUUGGAUACAUCUGCGUUUGAAACCCUAAAUCGUGUACCGUCGAGUGGUUGAAGAAGAGAAUAAUCAUAAGAAGAAACAGAUCUCCUAGGGUUUCUUAUCGUACUCGAUGAACGCUUUUGUACAAGCUCCUCUUAAUCGGUGACUCUGCUAUGUUUGCUUUGUUGUAUCAUGUGAUUACGAGUAGAUUUAUUUUGAUAUGUUUUGUACUUUGUCUUUCUAAAGCUUUUUUGUUGGUUUAUAGAGUUUGUUGAUUAGAAGCAACCUCUGCCGGACGGUUGUUGAGGAGAUGGAAAUGUGAAAGGUGAUACCAGGUGUGUUGAUAGGUGAUACCAGUACAAAAGUUUAGGACAUCACCAAGAUCUCCCGUCAUCUCAAUUUGAGCAAUUAAACGUAGUUUUGUUAAUCACUAUCGGUGUUUUAAUUACUAGCAGUGCUUAAAAAGUUUUCCAUCAGCUGUUUGACUUAACAAUAGUUUGCGUUAUUUAUUCUAAAUUCAUCAGUUUUUGUAGGUAAACUGAAGUUUCCUACAAUAGGCACUGCCCAGCUAAGUUUCCUACAAUGACAGUGGUUAUAACAAGUUAAUAUGGCAAAUCACUGAUCUGCCUAACAAGUGUUGGAUAUAACGAUGGUUGUACAUAAAGUUUGAUAAACAUCAUCCACUGUUCAAUUAUGAAAAACCACUGAUCAAGACCAAAGUCCAGACAAGCACUGAUCAACUAAAUGUGAAACACUCUCCAACAACAGUGGUUCCCCAUCAACAUUAAUUGUUCUAUCUUUGUUUAUGUUAACAGUGUUUAUUCUAUCUUUGUUUAUUUUAACAGUGUUUAUAUGUAACAUAAUUUAUCCUAUCACUUCAGUGUUU